ACGCUCGACACCUACGGGAGACAGCAGUAGGGAAUUUUCGUCAAUGGGGGGAACCCUGAACGAGCAAUGCCGCGUGAGUGAAGAAGGUCUUCGGAUCGUAAAGCUCUGUUGUAAGAGAAAAAGGGCGCAUAUAGGAAAUGAUAUGCGAUUGAUGGUAUCUUACCAGAAAGCCACGGCUAACUACGCGCCAGCAGCCGCGGUAAUCUGAGCGGGCUGGCAAGGC
rnacentral:rRNA from 1 species